UACGGAGGAUGCAAGCGUUAUCCGGAAUGAUUGGGCGUAAAGCGUCCGCAGGUGGCUGUGUAAGUCUGCUGUUAAAUAGUGAGGCUCAACCUCAUAAAGGCAGUGGAAACUACACGGCUAGAGUGCGUUCGGGGCAGAGGGAAUUCCUGGUGUAGCGGUGAAAUGCGUAGAGAUCAGGAAGAACACCAGUGGCGAAGGCGCUCUGCUAGGCCGUAACUGACACUGAGGGACGAAAGCUAGGGGAGCGAAUGGG
rnacentral:rRNA from 1 species